AACCUAAAGAACCGGAGAAACCUAAAGUGCCCGAGAAGCCCAAAGUGCCUGAGAAGCCUAAAGAACCAGAAAAGCCCAAGCAGCCGGAGAAACCCAAAGAGCCCGAGAAGCCUAAGGAGCCUGAGAAGCCAAAAGAACCGGAAAAACCAAAGGAACCUACGAAACCCAAGGAACCCGAGAAGCCCAAAGAGCCUGAAAAGCCCAAGGAACCCGAGAAGCCCAAACAACCUGAAAAGCCCAAAGAACCUGAGAAGCCCAAGGAAGCUCCUAAACCCGCACCGGUAGCUCCACCACCACAACCACCACCACCGU
rnacentral:lncRNA from 1 species